rfam:Ixodes scapularis strain Wikel colony gcontig_1108378576762, whole genome shotgun sequence.
GUACUUCCAAAGUACAUAUACUAAAAUUGGAACGAUACAGAGUAGAUUAGCAUGGCCCCUGCGCAAGGAUGACACGCUUUCGACGGUACCCAACCGUAAAUAA